UUCAAAUACAGCUUUUCUUCUUUACCUGUCCAGGUAGCCUCUGUCUUCAUUUCAGUCUUAAUGAAAACUUUCUUAUUUACAUCUCAAGUUUCUUUUCAAAGCAAUUGAGAACUGAAAACGAAUGGGGAUUGAGCUGCUUUGCCUGUUCUUUCUAUUUCUAGGAAGGAAUGAUUGCGUACAAGGUGGCUGUGCCUCUGGAGGUGCAGAAUCCUGUGAAGAUUGCUUACUCAUUGGACCUCAGUGUGCCUGGUGUUCUCAGGAGAAUUUUACCCAUCCAUAUGGAGUUGGUGAAAGGUGUGAUACCCCAGCAAAUCUUUUAGCUAAAGGAUGUCAAUUAACCUUCAUCGAAAACCCUGUCUCUCAAGUAGAAAUACUUAGAAAUAAGCCUCUCAGCAUAGGCAGACAGAAAACUAGUUCUGACAUUGUUCAGAUUGCACCUCAAAGCAUGAUUCUUACAUUAAGACCAGGUGGUGAACAGACCCUGCAAGUGCAUGUCCGCCAGACCGAGGAUUACCCAGUGGACUUGUAUUACCUCAUGGACCUCUCAGCCUCCAUGGAUGAUGACCUCAACACAAUCAAAGAGCUGGGAUCCCUGCUUUCCAAGGAGAUGUCAAACCUAACUAGCAACUUUAAACUCGGCUUUGGUUCUUUUGUGGAAAAACCUGUUUCCCCUUUUAUGAAAACAACGCCAGAAGAAAUCGCCAACCCUUGCAAUAGUAUUCCCUACAUCUGCUUACCUACAUUUGGAUUCAAGCACAUUUUGCCAUUGACAAAUGAUGCCGAAAGAUUCAAUGAAAUUGUGAAGAAACAGAAAAUUUCUGCAAAUAUUGACACACCUGAAGGUGGAUUUGAUGCAAUUAUGCAAGCUGCUGUGUGUAAGGAAAAAAUUGGCUGGCGAAAUGACUCCCUCCACCUCCUGGUCUUUGUCAGCGAUGCGGAUUCUCAUUUUGGAAUGGACAGCAAACUGGCAGGCAUUGUCAUCCCGAACGAUGGGCUCUGUCACUUGGACAGCAAGAACGAAUAUUCCAUGUCAACUGUCUUGGAAUAUCCAACAAUCGGACAACUCAUUGAUAAGCUGGUGCAAAAUAACGUGUUACUGAUCUUUGCCGUAACCCAAGAACAAGUUCAAUUAUAUGAGAAUUAUGCAAAACUUAUUCCUGGAGCUACAGUUGGGCUACUUCAGAAGGAUUCUGGAAACAUUCUCCAGCUGAUCAUCUCAGCUUAUGAAGAACUGAGGUCUGAGGUGGAACUGGAAGUCUUAGGAGAUACAGAAGGACUUAAUUUGUCGUUCACAGCUGUCUGUAACAAUGGCACCCUCUUCCCACACCAGAAGAAAUGCUCUCACAUGAAGGUGGGAGACACAGCGUCAUUCAACGUGACUGUGAGUAUGUCAAACUGUGAGAAGAGAAACAGGCACAUCAUCAUAAAGCCUGUGGGGCUGGGGGACACCCUUGAAAUACUCAUCAGUCCAGAAUGCAACUGUGACUGUCAGAAAGAAGUGGAAAUGAACAGCUCCAAGUGCCACAAUGGGAACGGCUCCUUCCAGUGUGGAGUGUGUGCCUGCAACCCCGGCCACAUGGGUCCUCGCUGCGAGUGUGAGGAGGACACACUGAGCGCGGAUUCCUGCAAGGAGGCCCCAGACCAUCCCUCAUGCAGCGGAAGGGGCGACUGCUACUGUGGGCAGUGCAUCUGCCACUUAUCUCCCUACGGAAGCAUUUAUGGCCCUUACUGCCAGUGUGACAAUUUCUCCUGUGUGAGACAUAAAGGGCUGCUCUGUGGAGAUAACGGUGACUGUGACUGUGGCGAGUGUGUGUGCCGGAGCGGCUGGACCGGCGAAUACUGUAACUGCACGUCCAACACGGACCCGUGCAUCUCUGAGGAUGGGGUGCUCUGCAGUGGGCGAGGGGACUGCAUUUGUGGCAAGUGUGUUUGCACGAACCCUGGAGCUUCGGGACCAACCUGUGAACGAUGUCCUACCUGUAGUGACCCCUGCAACUCUAAACGGAGCUGCAUCGAAUGCCACUUGUCUGCAGAUGGCCAGCCUGGGGAAGAAUGUGUUGACAGAUGCAAACUAGCUGGUGUGACCAUCAAUGAAGAAGAAGAUUUCUCAAAGGAUAGUUCUGUUUCCUGCUCUCUGCAAGGAGAAAAUGAAUGUCUUAUUACAUUCCUAAUAUCUACAGAUAACGAGGGGAAAGCCGUCAUUCACAGCAUCAACGAGAAAGACUGUCCAAAACCUCCAAACAUUCCCAUGAUCAUGUUGGGAGUUUCACUGGCUAUUCUUCUAAUUGGGGUUGUGCUACUGUGCAUUUGGAAGCUGCUCGUGUCGUUUCAUGAUCGUAAAGAAGUUGCCAAAUUUGAAGCAGAACGAUCAAAGGCCAAGUGGCAAACGCAUCCUCAGCCUCUAAUCCUGCCCAGGUGACUGAUCACAGGGUUGGGGAAAGGAUGACCUUGUCUCAACGAUAAAGGAGUGCAAACCCACCCAAGAUGGAGCCAGAUCCCAGCUGGCGUCUCAGCUGGAAGUCCUAUUUAGGGAGGUUGCAACCUGCGUGGCCCUACAGGAGGCAGUACUGCACAUUUCCACACUACCUCCUGCCAACAAAACCUGACGAGCUUAUUCUCCUGGACAUUCCUUUAGAAGAACAACUGGUCAGCUGAAGACAGGAAACACUCUACUGUCCCCUAUCAAUAGGGAACCAAUCCACUGUACAGAGGCUCCACCAGUACCUUCAAAAACAUAACUUAUAAACACAGGGAAAAACAAAAGGUGGACAUUUUCACAGAGGGAUAGGAUGCAUGGAAAAGUCUCUUUCACUGAUAUGAAAUUUUAAUGCGUUAUUUAAUUUUUCUUUGUUGCUUCAAAAUGGGGCUGGUUUAAGAUAAUAGGUCAUUUGGAGAUUGUUCACUGUAUGAAGGUUAGAGACUAUGUUGACAGGUUCAAAAUUAUCAAGAAGAGAAAUAUCCUUAGCAAAGGGGUGAUUUGGGGGAUCAUCUGAGGAAUACUAACUCCAUUGCACUGAUGCCUCAAAAAAAUUACCACAAUGAUUCAUGGGGGUCUGACUUGCACUAGAAGAAUAAUUGAAAUUAGAAUCUCCCAUGUUUCAGAAAUGCAGCUACCUGAAGUCCUUGUCUCAGCAAUGUUGCAAAGUCCCUAUGUUCAUCCCCACAGUUGUUAUUUAAUUCUAAACUUCUAGUAAAUCUGCCCUUUCCUAAAGGAGGAGAUUCAAAAUCUGAGAGAAAUUAGAUUCUCGGUUUACUUCAGCAGAGAGGAAGCAGUUGUUUCUAAAGUUAUCCCAAAUGGAAGAAUGAAAAUGAAGUGUUAAUAAUGUCAGUGGAUUUCUCUGCAUGUAAACAUCAGGUGUGCAAGCAAGUAUUUUUGUUUUGUUUUGUUUUACAGAUGAGGAAGAGUAAUUUAUAAACUCGGAAGUUAACAGUAAACAAAAAUAGCAAGCAAAUCAUUUAGUUUAUUUUUAAUUGCCUGAAAAAUAAACCUCUACAUUCAGUGUGUUUUGACCCUUAGUUUUCCAACUAUUACUUCUUCCAUUUUACUCAGUUUUAAAAUCUUCUAAAUCUUGUAAAUGUCAUAUGAAAGUUUCAAUUUCUUUUCAGAAAUUUGCUUUAAAUGGUUUGAUAUUUUAUUCACAGAGAACUCCAAUAAUACCAAAGGAACAUGGGUUAAACGGAAUAAAAUUUUUAAUGGUUUUAAGUCAAACACAUCAUGAGUAUACAAGUCCUUCAGGAGUAAGAGGCUUUUCUAUCUAUGAUUUUUUCCCAUCUGCAUAAAGCAACUUCCACAUUUCAGCCACACAUGGUGGAUUUGCAUCAUACAUUUGCUUUAAAAGGUAAAAUCUUGCAAAUUACUUGUGAAUAGUUAAGGAUUCAAAAGUUGAUCAAAGAGAUGGAUUCUGUAGAAUCAUAUUUCUUAUACCUGCGUUACAAAGCACUGAUAUCUCAUUUGAUUCUCAUAAAGAGCCUGGGGAAAUGUUAAACUGACUUUAAAGAGAAGGAGACGAAGGCUUGGAGAGUGAGUAGAAGAACUGUGUCCAAAGUCUAGAUCUUCUGACUGCAAGCUAUUUCCUCUCCCCACUGCAUGAGACCUCUUCUUUUGUCAGCUAAAUGAUAGAAAGAUUCUGUUAGUUAAGUGAUAACUAUCAUUUGUUUGAAAAUAUACUGAGACUCAAUAAAUUGCAUUUAAACUACUAGAAUACAGGUAGGGAAUUGUACUUUUGUGCAACGUUUAUUACCUUUGAUUAAAAUGCAGUAUGAAGCCUUUUACUAGGUGAAUAGUUCUUUAUGUAAUGAAGGCUUCAUGUUUAUCCAUUGGAUUGCCACAGAGUAAUCUGUGGUAAGUUUCUUCACUUCUAGAAAGAUCUGUACAUGUUUGGUCACUUGGAGACUUUCUGUUUUUCUGGUUUCUGAAUAACUCAUGUAAAUCAGUCACUUGGGGAGUACGGUGAUACAUUAAAAGAAUUACCUUAGAAACCUGAAGGGAUGAUAUACCCUUAAGUUCCAGAGAGAAGCCCAGAGUCUGGGGAGAAUCUACUGCAACAAACAGUAGUGGCAUUCACCUCGACGUGGGACUUCUGUGACAUUUCUGUGUUAUUACUGGAACGCAAUGUUAGAAAAUAUGUUUCCUUUGUGUGUGUAUGUUGGGGCAGGUAGUGAAGAAUUUGCUAUUUCUCUGAAUACUGUUUUGACCCAAGGCUGGACCUUGAAAAGGGCAAGACAUUAACAGUAGUACUUCUGUUCACUGAAGAGAUAUGUUAUGUGACGAUGACAUGGUUUUUUGUAAGUUGUUUUAUUGUAUUUUGUGUUGACAUAAAUAAACAUGGUAAUUUAAACAAUGAA